GCGGAACUUCCACAUAUCGCGCCUAUCCCUCGGACAGACUGCGCGGAAAUUUCCAAGAUGGCCGCGACGUCGCGAGUGUUCUGAUCGGUGUGUGACAGCGAGUCCGUUUCGCGCGUGCUUUUUUCGCGAGUGUCGUCAAAGCAAGCUGAGGAUCCGAGACUGGCGCGAGAUCUCCUGGCCCCGGAGGGGCCCUCCGACAAGGUAUGUUUGCAGCACUUCUUAACUUUCAAGAUCAGAACAGUUGUCCCAACCGUUAGAGUGGCCUGCAAAAUGUAUGAAAUCGUUACGAAUUUUGUAUACUGCUUUUCAGUUUUGCUUUACACAGACGCUAACAAAACCUAUAUCCAUGAUGUAAAAAUAACGUGCGUUUAUUGAAAAAUAAUAAAUAUAGCUUGAGAACCUGUU